UCCACCGGCGAGUCUCCAUUCUACCUGAUGUUCGGGCAAGAACCCAGGCUGCCGGUUGAUUUUCUCUUGGGUAGAGUCUUAGACCCUGUGGGUGGCGAGGUCCACGAGUGGAUCCAAGAACAUCAAAACCGGCUCCAGCUUGCUUUUGACGGGGCCCGGGAAAGGUUGAAGGUGGCGGCAGAGCGCAGAAGGAGGAAUCAUGAUAAUCAUGUUCGGGAUGACCCACUAAAGGUGGGGCAGUUGGUGUGGCUGCGCGAUCAUAGUGCAAGGGGGCGCCACAAGAUACAGGAUCUGUGGGGCCCUGUGGUGUACAGAGUCGUAAAGGCACCCCGAGAAGGUGGUCCAGUGUACACCAUCGCACCGAUGGACGACCAAACCAAAGUUCGGCAGGUCCAUCGAACACUGUUGAAAGCCGUUGCCGGAGCUGCCCCUCAGGGUAGUGCAUUGCCCCCUUGUCCACCCCCUCUUGACCGGCCUCGGUCAGAGGAUGAGUUGCCGUUUGACGGAGACUUGUUUAUGUUGGGGCCGGAGACCCCUGUUUCUGCCCCUGCUCGCACAGCCGUGGUGACUCAAACCACCCCUCGGUUGCUGCUCCCACCACCUGACUCUGCUGGGUCAGAGUCGUCAAGCGCUCCCUCGACUGCAGUGGCAGAUCCACCCUCCAUUUCCCUGGCCGUUCCAUCCGCCAGUUAUGCGGCUGAAAGUGAAGUACGCCGGUCAGCCAGGUCGACGGCUGGCCAGCACCCAAACCUCUAUCAUCUUCCGCGACCUGUAGGGAACUUGGCAUCUGGGGCUGCAAAUCCCCCUGGUCCAGUGUCAAAUGCCGUUACUGCGCUCUUUAGGCCGUGGAGUUAGUUGGGUGAUCCUCUGGAUCAGUUGUUCCAUCGUCGGGACGACGAUGAAGUCAAUGGGGGUAGAAUGUAGCAGGAUGGGCCUUUAAUUAGUGCUGCAGUACCGGCCUAUCACUGUUGGGUGCGCUGCCUAUAAAGGUGGGUGGUUGUGCACUGGGAGCACUCUUGCCUGGGAGCUCCUGGCUACCCCGCCCCCUGUUGUCACCGAAACCUGAUCGCCUCACCUGAUCGCCUUUUAGUUGGAUCGUGCAGCUCGCCGUUGUUUGGCAGUUUAUUGGCCGGGUCUUCCCUCUCCCGUAUCGACCCCAGUUGUAGGGCGUGCGAGUGUUUCCUCCUCUACCUGUUGCAGCGGGGAGCGAUCAGCUGUAGAUCGAGUUGCACUUGUAAUGGUGUUGCUCGCUACAGGUGGUCCCCUUCCUCCCCUUGAUGUUCAUUCAACUCCUGACGGGUUGACGUGUGUGUGGGCGGUUUCUGCCAGCACGUCCCCCCCCCUCUUCACGCUGCUGUUGGCCGGCUGCCGUUUUGUCCACUGAUUAUAUAGCCAACACAUCGAUCCUACUCUGCAUCUCCUACUGUGCUGUACCUGCCCCGAGUAUGGUGAUUGCUGCCUCACCCUAAGUCUCAUUAUUUUGAUCCAUUCAUUUAACAGACUUCCAACUGAUCUUAUUGAUGAUAUUAUUUGUGUUUUGUGGGUUGCUUUGCAUGUUUGUUUUGGCUUAAUUGCUUUACUUAUCCAUGAUAUUAUUUGUGUUUUGUGGGUUGCUUUGCAUGGUUGUUUUGGUUUAAUUCGUUUUCUUAGUUAUUUUGGUUUGGUUUAAUUGCUUUACUUAUUCAUUUGGAUUUAUCAGUUUGGAUAAAUCUCCUUUACUUUUGAUUUAAAACCCAUUUAGUUAUUUGCUCUUCCCUU